UACGGGAGGCAGCAGUAGGGAAUCUUCCACAAUGGACGCAAGUCUGAUGGAGCAACGCCGCGUGAGUGAAGAAGGUUUUCGGAUCGUAAAGCUCUGUUGUUGGUGAAGAAGGAUAGAGGCAGUAACUGGUCUUUAUUUGACGGUAAUCAACCAGAAAGUCACGGCUAACUACGUGCCAGCAGCCGCGGUAAUACGUAGGUGGCAAGCGUUGUCCGGAUUUAUUGGGCGUAAAGCGAGCGCAGGCGGAAUGAUAAGUCUGAUGUGAAAGCCCACGGCUCAACCGUGGAACUGCAUCGGAAACUGUCAUUCUUGAGUGCAGAAGAGGAGAGUGGAAUUCCAUGUGUAGCGGUGGAAUGCGUAGAUAUAUGGAAGAACACCAGUGGCGAAGGCGGCUCUCUGGUCUGCAACUGACGCUGAGGCUCGAAAGCAUGGGUAGCGAACAGGAUUAGAUACCCUGGUAGU
rnacentral:rRNA from 1 species